rnacentral:misc_RNA from 1 species
GAUGAAGAACGCAGCGAAAUGCGAUAAGUAAUGUGAAUUGCAGAAUCCAGUGAAUCAUCGAAUCUUUGAACGCACAUUGCGCCCGUCAGUAUUCUGGCGGGCAUGCCUGUUCGAGCGUCAUUACGCCCCUCAAGUCCCCUGUGGACUUGGUGUUGGGGAUCGGCGAGGCUGGUUUUCCAGCACAGCCGUCCCUUAAAUUAAUUGGCGGUCUCGCCGUGGCCCUCCUCUGCGCAGUAGUAAAACACUCGCAACAGGAGCCCGGCGCGGUCCACUGCCGUAAAACCCCCCAACUUUUUAUAGUUGACCUCGAAUCAGGUAGGACUACCCGCUGAACUUAAGCAUAUCAAUAAGCGGAGGA